UACUAAAAUAAAAAAUUUUAAAAGAAAAAUAUUUCAAAAAUUACAAAAUUUAAUAAACCAUUUACUAAAGGGUAGAAUCGUACUUCUUGCACUUUGGUGCUUUUACCUUGAGAAGUUAUUUCAACUUCCCACUCCUCAUUUAAUCGUACAUUUUUGCCUUUAUUACUACCACACAUUUCUCGCUCCCCAUGAAUUACUGCACUUUCUCUCUUCUUUCUCUCUUUUGCGCGGAAGUUCCCUGGUGAUUUCCGAGGCGGCGAAUGGCUUGCGAUUCUUGGUUUUGUGCUUUUGUUAGCUUCAAUUGAUAGGUAAUUACUUCAAUUAUUUGCUUUCGUAGUUCAAUUUAGCGAAUAUCAAGUAAAAUUCCCAAAACUAGGUCUAGGUUUUCACUUCGAAUUGUUGAAAAAAGGGGGUCGAUUGUUUAGAAAGAAAAAUGGUGACCAAAUAGAAGUUGUAAAUGACUCCUGUUCUAAAGGAUGAAUUGGUGAAGAUGAUUGGGUUUCCUGAGAGUGUUUUUGCUUACAUUUCAUGAAAGGGUAAAAAGGUAAAACAUUACCCCAAGGGUUUCGUCAUAUUUCGGUCUUGGUUCUUGGAGACAGUGGCUAUGUUUCCAUUCAAACCUCUGACUAGAUCUUUCUUUGAAUUGUUGGGGAUAAGUCCCGGGCAGCUUAUGCCGUCUGGGUGGAGGAUUAUUUUGUUAGUUUUGGAGGAGGUUACCAAAGAUAGUGAGGAUCCAUUUACUUUGAAGGAUUUGAUAGAAGCUUAUGAUAUAAAGAUGAUGAAGGAUUGUUUUGUAAGUUUAUUUAAGAAGAGGGAACCUUUGGUGUUGAAUACUAAUUGUAAUGACAGGGGUUGGGCUUAUUAGUUUGUCUAUAUAAAAAAGAUUUUGCUGGGUGUUGACGAAACAUAGAUGACGGAAGGAUAGCCGGAGGAUGAGCUCAGUCUUGAUUUUUUAGAAUCGUCGGACAAAUCUGCUGCCAAGGUUUAGCGAUUUCUCAAAGUCGAAAGUGCAAAAAGGACCUUUGAGAGGACGAAGCGCCCUCUAGGUGAAUCGUCAGGUCAAAAGCACAUAGGUUCACCAAGCGCAUCUCAGAAAGUCCAAGAUUCAAGAAACAAUGUCUACUCAAUCUGCAGCGCAGGGUCUUCAUUGGGGGCGAAACAUGUCUCAGGCAGAACAGGAUGCUCGGAUGAGGAGGAAACGAGGACUACUUGCAAAGGAUUCGUCCCCGCUAGGACAGAGAAGCUUUAUGCUUUGUCGCCGCAGGGAAUAGGGUAAUGUACCUAAGAUGAUAUUGGUGUCGUCGUCCCCUCUGUCAAAGUAACAGAAGGUUGAUGAUGCUCCGGCGGUUCCCAAUGUGGAAAUGCGCUUUCCUACCAAUAUUCUUCACCUUGGCUAGACGAAUCGUCAACCUAUGUUUCCCCCAAUUUAACCAGCUGCUCUUUCCUGGUUCCCGUGAACAUUUGGCUGGGACAUCUACUCUUGAUAUUGCGUCGGAGGCUGCCUCUAUUCAUCUGAAUUGUUUGCAAAACUCAUUGGUUUUGAGGGAUAGGGUGAUAGGAAUAGCUAAGCAGAUGAAAAGGUUGGACGAUGUUUCAAAAAACUAUGAGGCUAAGACCAAGACUGCGACGAGGCAAUUUGUCACUCUGAAGGAGUUAGAUGAGAUGAUAUUAAAGGUGAAAGGUUUAGAGUGCAAACUGGAGGAGCAAGAGAAUAAUGUAGGAGAGAUGUAGACACCUAAUUGUGUCUCCUCAAAAGCCAAAUCCAGUGAUGAAUACCUUUCACGUCAUUGAUUAUCAAACGAAGUGAAAGUGUGAAAAGUCUUGUGAUGCGGUCAUUUUUAAUAAAAUACUUUCUUUCUGUUUUCGAAAAUGUACUCUAUUUAUGAAAAUAGCCAAUUCAAUUUAGUUUUGUCCAUGAUGUAGGUCCAAUAAUAGUGUAGUAAGAUGGAGCUUGAAAAGACCUUUCCAACGAUAUAUUAUAAAUCCAAUUCCGAAGAAUAAUAAGGGAGUUAUGGCCAAAAUACUAAACUGGGCUUAAAUCGGAUUUUACUUCAACUCAAUUAUCAUGUAGAGGGUCCAAAGCCUUAAUCCCAUUCCUAAACUAAUUGAGAUUAAUUAGAAGC